UAAUAAGUGUUUUAUGGCACUUUUUAAAUCCAUAUCCACCUUGUGUGCAAUGUCAGUCGAUCUUCUUCAUGGAGAUCGACCAAACAUCAACCUUUAUCUUUUAACUCUUUGUCUGAAGAAUAUUAUGAAUAAACAAUUCAAAAAUA
rnacentral:misc_RNA from 1 species